UACAGAGGUCCCGAGCGUUGUUCGGAUUUAUUGGGCGUACAGGGUGCGUAGGCGGCGGAGUAAGUUGGGUGUGAAAUCCCGGGGCUUAACCUCGGAAUGGCAUUCAAUACUGCUUCGCUUGAGUACUGGAGAGGAGGCUGGAAUUUACGGUGUAGCAGUGAAAUGCGUAGAUAUCGUAAGGAAGGCCGGUGGCGAAAGCGAGCCUCUGGACAGUUACUGACGCUGAUGCACGAAGGCCAGGGGAGCAAACGGG
rnacentral:rRNA from 1 species